rnacentral:rRNA from 1 species
AGCGAACGCUGGCGGCAGGCCUAACACAUGCAAGUCGAACGGACCCUUCGGGGUUAGUGGCGGACGGGUGAGUAACACGUGGGAACGUGCCUUUAGGUUCGGAAUAGCUCCUGGAAACGGGUGGUAAUGCCGAAUGUGCCCUGCGGGGGAAAGAUUUAUCGCCUUUAGAGCGGCCCGCGUCUGAUUAGCUAGUUGGUGAGGUAAUGGCUCACCAAGGCGACGAUCAGUAGCUGGUCUGAGAGGAUGACCAGCCACAUUGGGACUGAGACACGGCCGAAACUCCUAAGGGAGGCAGCAGUGGGGAAUCUUGCGCAAUGGGCGAAAGCCUGACGCAGCCAUGCCGCGUGGAUGAUGAAGGUCUUAGGAUUGUAAAAUCCUUUCACCGGUGAAGAUAAUGACUGUAGCCGGAGAAGAAGCCCCGGCUAACUUCGUGCCAGCAGCCGCCGUAAAAC